AUCGGCUCAAAAAAUUAAAAAAAGCAUAGAACGAUCGAUCCAUCCGAUCCCACAGACUGAAUCUUCCGCCGCCGCCUUGCCGGCCUUGCCGUAUCGCAUGGUUUCCGCCGGCCGAUAGCCACUCCGACCAGGAACAGCGAUUGAUCUAUUCGGGCCCGAUUAGUUCUAUUUUGACUAAUCGGUUCGGAUUUGCUUGUGGCAAGCUGGGUGACGGAAUUGCUUAUUUUGCUCUUUGACGAUGUUAGCCAAAUCGUCCAAGAACUAAUGCUCAUCAACAAUACCCAACAUACACCACCACCACCACCACCGACCGUCCUCCGGUGCCUCCCAAAGCCGGAGCGACCAAGGUGGUACGCCUGACCAAGAUGCUCUCGCCGGACGAUCGCCUUGAGGACGACGGGUUCGAUGGCCUGGUGGAGGAUGUCACAGAAGAAGCGCGCAAAUUCGGUAACCUUGUGAUGGUCGUGAUCCCGCGGCCCGGCCCCGGCAGUAGUCCGGCGGUUGCUGGAGCCGGGAAGGCGUUUCUGGAGUACGUGUGCCUCGACAGCUCGUCCCAUUGCAGGAGGAGUAUGGAUCGCAGGUGGUUUGCUGAGAGGCGAAUUACUGCUGGGUUCUACCAUGAGGACAUGUUUGCUGCUGGAGACUACGGCUAUGACGUUGACUGCCCCGAAGAUGAUGGAUAAAGUAUUUGGUAGUUAAUUAAUCUCUUGUUUCUAGUGCCUAUAAGACAUGCACGCGAGCAUGGAUGUUGAUCUGAAAGCACAUUGUAUGAAUGCUAC